rnacentral:rRNA from 1 species
UACAGAGGGGGCAAGCGUUAUUCGGAAUUAUUGGGCGUAAAGGGCGCGUAGGCGGCCAUUCAAGUGACGGGUGAAAGCCCUCGGCUUAACCGAGGAACUGCCUGUCAGACUGGAUGGCUUGAGACCGGGAGAGGUGAGUGGAAUUCCCAGUGUAGCGGUGAAAUGCGUAGAUAUCAGGAGGAACACCGAUGGCGAAGGCAGCUCGCUGGGACGGUACUGACGCUGAGGCGCGAAAGCGUGGGGAGCGAACAGG